CAGGCGCCCCCGGCUUCCCUGAUCUCAUCCCCGUUCCGGAAGGCUCGACCUCCUCUGGCGGCGCCGCCGGAACCUCCACCGCCUCUGCCCCCUCCCACCCCGCACCAAAGCACCGCCCUUCCUUCCCCUCCCCUCCCCUCCACCGGAUCCAUAUCAGACGCGCUUCUUUCCUUUCAUGGGCAAUCAAACCCUAGCCUACUCGGAUUUGUCUUCGCUUUAUUAGGGUUAGGCACCUCCUGCUCCGGUGCUCCCCCCUCCCCAUCACCGCCACAAGCCGUCCGUCGCCCGUCCACGUCCAGCGGCGGAGCGCGAGCGCCAUGUCCGUGGCGGCGGGGGUCAGCGAUGCGGCCAUCGCGGUGCGCGACAAGCUCCGGGGCAAGAUCGGCCAGACCAAGGUGAAGCGCUACUGGCCCGGGAAGAAGCCCGAGUGGGCCGAUGAGGCCGAGGACGACAUCGACCUCCGGGCGGCCAGGGUCUCCCUCGACGAGGCCUUCCCCAAGGCCGAGGAAGGGGACCGGGACCGGGACCGCCCCCCCAAGGACGACCGGCGGCUCCGGCGGCUCGCGGAGACGCGCGCGGAGAACAAGGAGGAGCUCCGGGCCGACCACCGCCGCAUCCGGCAGGCUGAGAUCGUGUCCACCGCUGAGGAGGAGCGGGACAGGCAAGAGGCCCAGGUGGAGGAGGAGGACGACGAGGACGCGCAGGAGGAGCGGCGGCGGAGGAUCAAGGAGCGGCAGCGCCUCAGGGCGCAGGAGGAGGAGGAGCUGCUCCCGCAGGAGGACGAGCCGCUCGAGGAUGACGUGCAGGAGUCGGAGGAGUUCGAGUACGAGACCGACUCGGAGGAUGAGCAGAUGGGCAUGGCCAUGGUGAAGCCCGUCUUCAUCCCCAAGGCGCAGCGGGACACCAUCGCCGAGCGCGAGCGGCUGGAGGAGGAGGAGCGGCAGGUGGAGGAGACCAUCAGGAAGAGGCUCGAGGCUAGGAAGAUCGAGACCAGGCAGAUUGUGGUGGAGGAGAUUAGGAAGGAUGAGCACAUUCAGAAGGCGCUCAACGAGGAUGCUAGCGUCGAGGAUGUCGACACGGAUGAUGAGCAGAACGAAGCUGAGGAGUAUGAGUCAUGGAAGAAUCGUGAGAUGGCGCGGAUUAAGAGGGACAGGGAGGAAAGGUAUGCACGGUUGAAGGAGAAGGAAGAGAUUGACAAGGUGAGGAAUAUGACUGAGGAGGAGCGCCGGGAAUGGGAGAAGAAGAACCCCAAACCUUCUCUCCAGAAGUCCAAACAGAAGUGGAACUUUAUGCAGAAGUACUACCACAAGGGUGCCUUCUUCCAGGAAGGCGGUGAUGACGUGAGCCAGUCAGCUGGUAGAGAUGCUAUAUACACCCGUGAUUUCUCUGCGCCCACCGGUGAAGAUAAGAUGGACAAGAGCAUCUUGCCUAAGGUCAUGCAAGUCAAGCAUUUCGGGCGGAGUGGCAGAACAAAGUGGACACAUCUUGUUAAUGAGGACACUACCGACUGGGAUGCACCAUGGGCUACAAACGGGCCGCUGCGAACAAAAUAUAAUGCAAAAAUGGCGGGCAUGAAUGCACCUAUUGCUAAACCAAAGGGAAGUAAGAAGAUGAAGGAUUGGGAUACGAAACGAGAUGAUUAAAUGUUUGUUGCUGGCUGUGUGACCUGGUACACUGCUGAACAUGGUGAUUAUGCAGAUGUUUUUCUUCUUUAUGUUGGUCGCAUAUGACACAUGUGCCAUCAUUUGGCUGCCCAAAUCCUCCCCGACUACCCCGAAGCCCGGGCAGACCCUCCUGAACUGGACUGCUGGCCCGAAACAGUAGAGAAGAGGUGAACUGCUGUUAUAAGUAACGCCAUCGCCCAUCUCAUCUGGGAGCCUGUCUGGUAAUUUGAUUGGAGAUUUGAAGUAACAAUCCAGGCAUGUAGCUGCAGUCUUUGUAUAAAUACUGUUGCUGAUUUCUCAAGGAAUAAUGUUCAGACAUGUUACUGGAUUAGCCAACCGAUGUUUGUUGGCUCUUCUGAGAAUUGGAUUCCACGUCAGGCCUUUGUGUUGGACCUUCCUCCUUAUAAAAAGGGGAAAUGUUCAAGUUACACCUCUACUUGUAUGAAAAUCCUGAUUACUCUGAGCCUUGCUAUAAACUGGUCGCUUUUCGA